rnacentral:rRNA from 1 species
GAUGAACGCUGGCGGCGUGCCUAAUACAUGCAAGUCGAGCGAACGGACGCGAAGCUUGCUUUUCUGAUGUUAGCGGCGGACGGGUGAGUAACACGUGGAUAACCUACCUAUAAUACUGGUAUAACUUCGGGAAACCGGAUCUAAUACCGGAUAAUCUUUUGAACCGCAUGGUUCAAAAGUGAAAGACGGUCUUGCUGGCACUUAUAGCUGGAUCCGCGCUGCAUUAGCUAGUUGGUAAGGUAACGGCUUACCAAGGCAACGAUGCAUAGCCGACCUGAGAGGGUGGUCGGCCACACUGGAAGUGAGACAGGGUCCAGACUCCUAAGGGAGGCAGCAGUAGGGAAUCGUACGCAAUAGGCGAAAGCAUGACGGAGCAACGGGGAGUGAGAGAUGAAGGUCUUGGGAUCGUAAAACUCUGUUAUUAGGUAAGAACAGAUGUGUAAGUAACUGUGCACAUAUUGACGGUAACGAAUCAGAAAGCAACGGCUAACUACGUG